CACGUAGGGGGCAAGCGUUGUCCGGAUUUAUUGGGCGUAAAGCGUGCGCAGGCGGUUUUGUAAGUUUGUCGUGAAAUCCCCGGGCUCAACCUGGGAAUUGCGAUGAAGACUGCAAGGCUAGAAUCUGGCAGAGGGGGGUAGAAUUCCACGCGUAGCAGUGAAAUGCGUAGAGAUGUGGAGGAACACCGAUGGCGAAGGCAGCCCCCUGGGUCAAGAUUGACGCUCAUGCACGAAAGCGUGGGGAGCAAACAGG
rnacentral:rRNA from 1 species